UCGGUGCCGCGCACACCCAAAGCCCAUCUAGCCUGAUUCGGCUAGACUGAUUCGGCUAGCCUGAUUCAGGGCGAACGAGCGCCAGAGUCCCGCAGACCCUGCUGCGCCAAGCCUAGUCUGUCCUCAGUGGGCAGGACCCAGACCCACAGCCAGAUCGCUGUCCAGGCCAGGCUCCCUGCCUGCUCUGUGCUUUCUCAGCCCUGGAUGGCUCCCGGUGCUGCAGGCGGAUGGGACAGGGAAGAGCUCAGUCCCCGAGGACCAGCAGGGACUGCGGCCACCAAGGCGAGAGUCUGUGUGUGCAUCUGGCUGCCCUCUCCCACCUGGCCAAGCCUGGGUAGGGACCUCGAGCUCAGAGCCUGCCUCCCCUGCCCCCCGCAGUCCCGCCAGACCCCCGCCCCUGAUCCCUUCUUAAUCCCUCCAAAUCCCUGAACCUUUGCCACGACCCCGGUGCAGGUCAUUCCUGGGCCCCUCGAUCUGAGGCCCCCGGUGCCGCCGAGCCCCGUGCGCCGAUGGGGAGGGUUCCCAGAUAAAAGGGACAUUGGCGAUCAGCACAGACAGGGGAACUGAGGCACAGGAAAAANNNNNCUCCAGCCUGGGCGACAAGAGCAAAACUCCGUCUCAAAAAAAAAAAAAAAAAAAAAAAGAUUAACCUGGCCAGGUGUGGUGGCUCAUGCCUGUAUUAGCCGGGCGUGGUGGCACAUGCCUGUAAUCCCAGCUACUUGGGAGGCUGAGGCAGGAGAAUCCCUUGAACCUGGGAGGCUGAGGUUGCGGUGAGCUGAGAUCACGCCAUUGCACUCC
rnacentral:lncRNA from 1 species